rnacentral:lncRNA from 1 species
UCAAGGAAUGAUUAAUUCAUAAGUGUGUUCUUCGAGACUGGAGUGGCCAUGAUUGGUAAUCUGAGUUCCUCUGAUUGAGUCAAUCUGCUUCUUGAUUGAUCAUUAAUGCUUUAACUGAAUCUUCAUUCUAUCCUUGAUUAGGGACGAGUCAAUCUGCUUCUUAAUUGAUCAUUAAUGCAGUAACUGAUUCUUCCUUCUUCCUUUAUUUUGAAACCAGUAGCAAUCUUGAUAAUCAUCUUCAUUCUUUCCUUUUUGGUUGUCCUGAAAAUAUAACAUAAGAUAAUAUUGCCAUCAUUGAAACUUAAACUUAAAACCUAUCAAUUUUGAGAGUAAUCUCUCCGAUAGUCGAGUCAUAUUGAGAGUAAUCUCUCCGAUAGUCGAACCACUGAGAGUAAUCUCUCCGAUAUUUGGACAAUGAAUACCCAUCCCCUCACACCCUAAGUCCGUCUUCUUCAUGCGUGGAUCAUUUGUUGAACAAGAACCUAUCUUUCUUUUCUUGACCUACAAAAAAGGAAAAAAAAAAAAAGAAAAGAACAGGCAAAGAAAACGCAGGAGAAAAUAAACAAAUUUUUUUUUACCUUCUCGUUACUGUUUUUCAGAGCAGCUUG